rnacentral:lncRNA from 1 species
CCGGAUUUCCUUUUAACUAUGGAAAAAUGCUUUAUAAUUUUUUAAGGUCCGCAUAAGUUUGCAAAUUUAAAAAGAGAUAUUCCACACAGUGUCAUCCCCCAAACAAUCUAAGACAAUACAAUAAAUUGUUUUAUCACUAAUAACAUUCACUUAAACAAUAAGGUUUACUGAGGAUAAUGCUUGGGGUCUCAACUGUUUAAUAAGUACUAGUGAGUUUCUAGUUUGUGCCAGAGGUCUGAAUGUCAGUAUUCAACACUGCAGAUGAUGACCUAUUUGCCAAAAGGAAGUUAAAAUUUAUAUCUGUCACAAGCAGGUAAGAGCUGCUCGGGAAAACAGCUACUAAAACCAGUAAUAAUGUAUUCAGCCCUUUCCUAAACAGUGAAUAUUAAGGCAUAGUUGUAACUAGAAGAGGGAAGAACUGACAUUUCUCAGCUGCCAGCACCAUAGCUAGCUAGGCUGUCUGUCCUCUUGGUCCUUUCUCGCAGUUCUGAAAGGCGCCUGCUGGCAUUGCUGUGGAGGUAUCUACUCACCAAUUUAUCUGACAGGUGGUUAGCUAUUAACAUAAAUAAAAGUUGUGACCUGUCUGCCACUUUCAAUAACUCAAGUGCUAUAUCCCCAAUCUGUCAUGUCCUUGGCAGCCCUUUUGUUUAUUAGUAAAUGCAUUAUUCAUUAGGAAAACCUGAUAGGAAAAAUUGCCUUAAUUUUAUUCAUUUUAAUUGUACUCUGCUAUUAUCCCUUUAGCAGCAGUUUUCUUUGCUGUACUCUGGCUGUUAUGAGAACUAAUGGUGACUGGGCUUGUUGAUAUGCCACUACAAAGGAACAUGAAGGAGGAUGACACUUUGCUGCUGCCUUGUACAAGUUCUUCAAGAUGUGCAGGGAUAAAUAAGGUUGUACAACUAACUUCACCAUAGUGAAACAGUUCAAUUUCUGAAGUUGAUUUUCAAUGUAUGAACAUAAUAGGAACUACACUGGGACAAUCCAAAGGUCUUUCUAACCCAGUGUCCGAUCUCCUAAAGCAGCUGGCAGUGAAUUUUAGCAGUGACACACACAAUGAAGCCCAGGAAAGUAAGAGGUGCUAUAUAAUGAGAACACUCUCAUUGGCCUUCAGAUUGCAAGAACUGCUGUGAUUUCAGUGUGGAACUUGACCUCAAUCUCGUACAAACCCAAUCAGAAUCAAAAACUACACUUUUUUUUGGAUGAAGUCCCACAAUGAAAUCAAUCCAAGAGCACCUCUAGAACUCACUGAGAAUUUACAUACAACAUAAGGCUCCUCAAAAAGCAAUACUGACAAUUUUCUUCUAAAAUAUCAUGGUAAAUAUGGCAUGCCCAUAUUUUAUAUUGAUGAGGACAUCAUCAGUCUGGAGUUCCUAGGAUCAUGCCAGAAGCAAGUUUUGUGACAAGCUGGACAGUUUUUACAGAGACUGUGGGGGGCAUUUGCACCAUCUUUAGGGGUCAUCUUACUAUCCCCACAUAUCACCUAGAAAGACGAAGUGUAUGUCUCUGUAUUUUUGCUUAAAGACAGGACCUUAAAUUCUAAACUAGUUCUAUCCUUCUCCUUUGCUCCCCUUCCCCCCGCCCUUUUUUUUAAGAAAAUGUAAUCAUAAAGUAUAGUUCUGAUGUUUAUACUCUGGUUCAAAAUGAAAUUUUGUCAAGAUAUAUCCAGUACUCUAUUGUAUAUAUAAAUACAGUACGAAUUGGAAUAAUGUAUUUGCAGUAAACCUUUGGAAUUAUGGAUCUCUGGUCUUAUCUGGAAUACUUUGCACAUUCUUCCACAUAUUCCUUUCUAACUGAAAAGCAAGGGAGUGAUUCAAAGUUUAUCUGUACAGUGGAGGAAUGUACCUCCAUCAGUAAAUGCCAAGUUGAGAAAUAAAAUACUUCAUGGAACUGAAAUGACA